ensembl:lncRNA
AUGGUAAAGCUAGUAUGUGACAUAAUUACUCAUAUCUUUUGCAGAAGUACAAAGCAUAGUAGCAGUGGUACUAAUACAGUAUUCAUAGCGGUAGAGGUAGUGGUAGAGGUUGUGGUAUAGGUAAUGGUAGAGGUACUGGUAGAAAUAUAAGUAGUCAUAGAGUUACAGUAGUGGUAGAGGUUGUGGUAGAGGUAGUGGUAGUGAUAAAGGUAGUGGUAGAGGUAGAGGUACUGGUAGAAAUAGAAGUAGUGGUAGAGGUUGUGGUAGAGGUAGAGGUUGUGGUAGAGGUAGAGGUUGUGGUAGAGGUAGAGGUUGUGUUAGAGGUACAGUAGUGGUAGAGGUACAGUAGUGGUAGAGGUACAGUAGUGGUAGAGGUACAGGUAGUGGUAGUGGUUGUGUUAGUGGUACAGGUAGAAGUAGUGAUAGUGGUAGAGGUGUAGGUAGUGGUAGAGGUACAGGUAGAGGUAGUGGUAGUGUUAGAAGUAGUGGUAGAGGUAGUGGUGGAGGUAGUGAUAGUGUUAGAAUUAGAGGUAAAGGUAGUGGUAGAGGUGGUGGUAGAGGAAGGGAUAGUGCUAGAAGUAGUGGUAGAGGUACAGUAGUGGUAGAGGUAGUGGUAAUGAUAGAGGUAGUGGUAAUGAUAGAGGUAGAGGUAGAGGUAGACAUAGUGGUAGAGAUAGUGGUAGAGGUAGAAGUAGAGGUAGAAGUAGAGGUAGAAGUAGAGGUAGUAGUAGAGGUAGUGGUAGUGGUAGAGGUUGUGGUAGUGGUAGAGGUACAGGUAGAAAUAGAAGUAGUGGUAGAGGUACAGUAGUGGUAGAGGUAGAGGUGUAGGUAGUGGUAGAGGUAUUGAUAGAUGUAGAGAUAGUGUUAGAAGUAGUGGUAGAGGUAAAGGUAGAGGUAGUGGUAAAGGUACAGUAGUGGUAAAGGUAGUGGUAGUGGUAGUGGUAAAGGUAGUGAUAGAGGUAGAGGUGGUGGUAGUGAUUGAGGUAGAGGUACAUAAUUGGUAGAGGUAGUGACAGAGGUAGAGGUUGUGGUAGUGAUCGAGGUAGAUGCAGUGUUAGAGGUACAGUAGAGGUAGUGAUAGAGGUAGAGGUAGUAAUAGAGGGAGUGAUAGAUGCAGUGGUCGUGGUAGUGGUAGAGGUACAGUAGUGAUAGAGGUAGAGGUACAUUAGUGAUAGAGGUAGAGGUACAGUAGUGGUAGAGGUAGUGGUGGUGGUAGUGUUAGAGGUAGUGGUAGUGUUAGAGAUCGAGGUAGAGGUUGUGGUAGUGAUCGAGGUUGUGAUAGAGGUAGAGGUGGUGUUAGAGGUACAGUAGUGGUAGAUGUACAGUAGUGGUAGAGGUAGUGGUAGAGGUAGUGAUAGUGGUAGAGGUACAGUAGUGAUAGUGGUAGAGGUACAGUAGUGAUAAGAGGUAGAUGUACAGUAGUGGUAGUGGGAGAGGUAGUGAUAGAGGUUGAGGUACAGUAGUGAUAGAGGUAGAGGUACAGUAGUGGUAGAGGUACAGUAGUGAUAGAGGUAGAGGUACAGUAGUGAUAGAGGUAGAGGUACAGUAGUGAUAGAGGUACAGUAGAUGUUGUGGUAGUGAUCGGGGUAGAGUUUGUGGUAGUGAUCGAGGUAGAUGUAGUGUUAGAGGUAGUGUUAGAUGUAGUGUUAGAGGUAGUGUUAGAGGUAGUGUUAGAGGUGGUAGUGGUGGAAGUAGUGAUAGUGUUCGAAGUGGUGGUAGAGGUACAGUAGUGGUUGAGGUUGGGAUUGUGGUGGAGGUAGAGGUAGAG